rnacentral:rRNA from 1 species
CUAGGAUGAACGCUAGCGGCAGGCUUAACACAUGCAAGUCGAGGGGCAGCGGGAUGUAGCAAUACAUUGCCGGCGACCGGCGGAUGGGUGCGUAACGCGUAUGCAACCUACCUUAUACAGGGGAAUAACCUUUCGAAAGGGAGACUAGCACCCCAUAGUAUUGAUUUAAGGCAUCUUAGAUUAAUUAAAUAUUUAUAGGUAUAAGAUGGGCAUGCGUAUGAUUAGCUAGUUGGUAAGGUAACGGCUUACCAAGGCGACGAUCAUUAGGGGUUCUGAGAGGAAGGUCCCCCCACACUGGUACUGAGACACGGACCAGACUCCUACGGGAGGCAGCAGUGAGGAAUAUUGGUCAAUGGGCGCAAGCCUGAACCAGCCAUGCCGCGUGCAGGAAAGACGGCCUUAUGGGUUGUAAACUGCUUUUACAUAAGACUAACCGUAUAUUUGCGAAUAUACCUGAAUGUAUUAUGAGAAUAAGGAUCGGCUAACUCCGUGCCAGCCGCUGC